CCCGCCCCGACGGGGCGGGACGAGCCGCCCCAGCCCGGCUCCGAGGAGGGUAAAAGCGGGGCUGCAGGGACGGGGAGCACGGAGCCACCGCGGCUGCACUGCGGACACGGUUGCACCAGGUGCCGGGAUCGCCGCACACGCGAGCCAAACGUCCUCUGAGAUGGCAUCCGAGGUCAGGGGAGAUAAACUUUGGGGAGGAAGAUUCAGUGGAAGCACAGAUCCCAUCAUGGAGAUGCUCAACUCUUCCAUUGCCUAUGACCAGAGGCUGUCUGCAGUUGAUAUCCAUGGGAGCAUGGCUUAUGCCAAAGCCCUGGAGAAGGCUGGGAUCCUAACUAAAACUGAGCUGGAGAAGAUUCUGAGUGGCCUGGAAAAGGUA